GUACCCGUUAGAGACACCAGCAGAUAACAAAAUACUACUUUUUUAUUUGACCCUAGAUAGUUCAACUUUAUACUAACAAACGUUAAAUAAAAAAUGGAGGGAGUAGUUCGUUAAUCAAAACCAAAAUACAGAGCUAAUAUAAAUCUUGCUCUUCGCUCCAUGUUUUUUUUUCUAACGAAGCAUAUUCUUACGUGAAGUGGAAAGACUCUUCUUUGGCUCUGUUGCCGAAGUGGACAGCUAGGAUCUGAACCAUAUCUUAUAUGCGAAGGAAAGAACCAAAGAGAGAGGUUCUAGCCAUACGGUUCUGAAACGGUCCUGAAUCCUGACGACCUGUAACUGCUCAUCUGUCACCGGUUAUUGGCAAUGGGCAUGGAAAUUAGGUAAGGCUGAGAUAUUAGUCUGGUGAUUCGUCAGCCGAGGAAGCCGGAUCGGACGAAGACGAGGAGUCCGCUCCUCCAAAGCCGCCCCCAAGCUUCGCCGCCGACCAAACCCUAAGGGGGGAGAUGCCGGCGGCAGCGGCGGGGCUCCUUGCUGCCCUCCGCGCUGGAGGCCUUCGCUGAUGUCUCGGGACCACCAGAUUUUCUGAGGCACAGGGUUGCCGAGCCAGAGGAAGGGACGGAGGCCCUCGGUGUACUCGAUCGCCGUGGGAAAGAGGGGAGCAAACAGCCGCCUCCAGAGUCUGGAUGCAAUUUCAGUUUCGAGUUCCCAAGAUAUUUGAUGGUGAAACUUGACCAAGAAUUAGGAAGAGGCAAAUUUGAUGUACUGUGUAUUAUUCCUUUGCACGUAGAGUGAUACAGCUACCCUUUUAGCUAGUAUCUGUGAGCUGGAAUGUGAAUACGUUUUCCAGUCUGAAUGAAAAGGCAAGGAUCUAUCUUGGCCACCAUGAAGCUCUGCUGUUGGAGAUAUUUGAUCAUAUAAUUGCAUUGCUAAUUUUCUAUGGCA